UCAGUCGAGAUCACCCGCUGAACUUAAGCAUAU
rnacentral:rRNA from 1 species